CUCACUGGGUGCCAUUUUCUUCUGCAGAAACUCCAGUGUGAAGCUCCUGAAUGCUGUUUCUCCUCAUGACAACGCUGAUACAAGUACAGGGUGUUAUAGAAGGGGCAGACAGUGUUCAUUAUAAUUAGAUACUGAGCCGCUUCUUCAAAAUAUGUUAGAUCUACAUGAAAUAGAGACUUUGGAAGAUCCUCAUAAGCAAAAUAAGCCAACGCAAGAGCAGCAAAGCCACGGCUGGCAAGGAGACUGCUUCGGAAUUCUGUAAGACCUCCAAUGCCACCAAACAUGUCAACCACUCCCAGGAAUGGACCUUUGCCUAUAACAUAAGGACACAAUUCCUCAACAAUGUUUCUUUACUGUAUUCAUUCCAGUUAGCUAGCCAUGUUAUGUGCUAAACCACUAUCAAUCAGAAUGCAGCCAAUCAGUUCUCUAGGAUUUAGUGACAUCACUGAGGUGUGACAUCUCUUUAGGCUGGACACAUCUGUAGCCUUUUGCUGGCGUCUGCUGAGCGUUAUGGGAGAUGAAACAGCCAGUAGUAAUCAUAAGGAAACCAAACCAAAUAGACUUCCUUGUACUGCCUUGUAAUUCCACUUCUUUACACAAGUAACCAUGCAGUAAAUGUUUGUUGCCUAGCUAUAAGCUUGUUGACAUGUAUUAUCACACCAGUAACAGGAUAGGUAAAACCCAAACUCAGCCAGGAAGGUGCAGAAACUAAACCUACAUGACCAAGCAGUAACUUGUAGCCGGCAUUAAGACAUAACCACUACUACAAUUAAGUGGUUUAUUUGCCUACCUGGUGGAAGGAAGAGCGCUCCUCUGACUCUGCCUUCUCUUAUCUGCAGUCUCUGUACCCCAGGACUCACGUACCAUCUUUCUAUGAUUUUACUGACACUGGGGGUUUCUUCAGGCAGUGGGCUUAUCACCUGGUAAGGAUACAGCUCCAGGUGAAUAUACCAGGGGCUUUCCAUCACGUCACAUUUUAUCAGUCUGAAGAAUGGGAUGGAUGGCUUCAGAGACCAGAACAGACCCAUAGGAUAAACACCUUCAAAAUCUCCACCAAUCGCUUGUGAGCUUUCCAGGUUUACUUUCCCCUCCAUAUCACUCCUAUAGAAAGCUCUGGAGGAAAAUAUCUGCCCUUUCUCAUCCUCCAGCCAUGCUCUCAGGGUGAUGGUCUGCUGUGGUGGGAGGCCCCAGGCCUGGAUCUUCACUGGCUCAUCCACUAGCGAGCUCCCCGGUGAGACUGCGAGGCCAAUCAUAUCUCAAGGUCCAGAGAAGGUAGGAUUCCCUUGGUGAGGGUGACCUCAGUUCCUGAUCUGAGAGCGUAGAUAGAGGAUAGAUAAAUGAAGGUUUUACCUUGUCCCAAAAAAUAACGGUUGCUGUCUGGUGCGGGGACUCUGGUGUGCACACAAGAGCACCCCCCUGAACAAACGUGCACGUUUCACCCUUACAGCUUGAUCACAGCCAAUGUGUCUUCCAGGUUCUGAUGAGUGUGUCUAUAAAUGAGUGCUGCUGUCCUAUUA